UAAAAGAGGGACGAAAGAUACCAAAGGGACAGUCAAACUCAUAAAUCUAAAACAAACUGACAACGCCAUGGCUAAAAAUGAAAAAGACAAACAAACAACAGCACACAUGACACAACAUAGAAAACUAAGAAUAAACAACACGAACCCCACCAAAAAACUAGGGGUGAUCUCAGGUGCUCCGGAAGGGUAAGCAGAUCCUGC
rnacentral:lncRNA from 1 species